AGAUGGAAGUCUAGACAUUAGUAUAGAUAAGUAAAUAUCAUUAGACUACAGUGGCUUGUGUUAUGACUCUAAACAAGCCUGAAUGACUUACAGCCCCAUUACAUAUUUUAUUUUGUUUAAUGAAGAGCAAUCAAUGCACCAUCUUAAGUCUAUCUGCAGAUGAGGGCUACAUUUGUCAAGAAGAAUAUAAUGCAUAUAUAAAACAAUAUAAACAAACAGUAAAAACUUCAGUAUUAGUAGCAUAUUUAGACUGAAAGUGAGUAGACACAUACAUGUAUACUGUCUUAUUUAUUGUGGUUUUGAUUAUCACUUUUCAGUGUUAAGCUAAUCAAGUUUGCUCUGCCUCAGUUCCCGUUUCUCAUUCAACAAAAUUAUGAAAUCAGGGUGUGUUGCAGCAGGAACUCCUUUUUAGGGUUUUAAUGUUAGGUUAUAAAAUAUAGUCACAAUGAAACCCAAGAGAAAAUACUUUUAAGGGCAUUAAUGAUUGGACCCAUUUCAUAACAUCCGAUCUGUAAUAACACUAUUUGUGCUUUAACUGCGAGGAAAAGAAAAUACUUGGAGGCAAAACCUGCAACCAAGUGCCCCACCUACUGGUAUUUGUUAAUAAAUGUCAAAACAAGAAAGGAUGGGGGAUUUGAGAAACUCAAUGAUGCCACUUUUAUGAGUCUUUACAGUUUAGAUGCAUCUACCUCACAUUAUCUCCCUGUGAUAAGAUUAUGAAUAACCUUUUCACAGAACUGCGUUUCCUUAGUGAUGUGUUACUACAUAACAGAGACAGAAAAAAAUGUACUUGUACUCUGACUUGUAUUUAUGUUUUUUCAAUUUACCCUGUGUGCAACAUUUUUUAAACACAUAUGAUAUUAUACAUAACAUCUGUGAAGGGGUUAUACAUACAUACAAUAUUUUUUCCCUGCUCUGUAAGGCUGCCUGUGGCUUCACUGGUGCCAGAUGUGUUGAGCCAGAGUCAGGAUGUGCCUCCUACUUCAGCUUUACUAAAUUAAGACUUAUGACUCAACUGGCUAGUCAAACAUGUGUGCAAACACAUACACAUACACUUCCUGCUGUGUAGGUGAAAGACUCAAGGCUCUUCCUGGCAUUAAGAAGCAAAGUGGGCAUAGUGGAAAGGAGAAACCUUUGAAUACCAGUCAGGAAAAACUCCUAACAAGGAUAAGAAUGCCACCAAAAAACAAAAAACAAAAAAACAGCACUGCUUCACACCCUCCACAUUCUCCAUGGAAAAGCCUGAACUUUGGCAGAACAAAAACAGAAAUGACACCAUGGGGUAAGAGAGGAGACAGGGGGGAGGGACUAAGCAGAGAUGUGAUACAUCGAGCCACUUAUAUUUUCCGACAAUCUCCUACCACAGAAGUAUGUGCAGGGAGGAAAGCUCUUUCCCUCCCUUUCUUUCACAUACACAUGUUCAGGUAUUUCCUGUUGGGAGUGUGAGGUGGCCCAACAGCAUUAUGGAUGACUGAGUCCUCAAGUGGGCCCCAUUCUUUCUUCCCUGCUCCUGCUUCUCCCUUCAUUUUAAUUUUCACUGCUAUCUCAGCCAGUUUAGUGGUGAUGAGCCUGAGCUAUUUGUUACUUUAUUUGUUUUUCUGCUUUUUUCCCCCUUUUAGUCUGAAAAUUACAUCUGAGAGGUAACUGAAAUGUGGAAAAGAGAGAGAGUAACAACAGAUUAAAAAAAAAAAAAAGGGACAAAUACCUAUAACUGUAUUUAUUUGAAAAAGCUAUUCUCAUUGUAAGUAAGACUUGAGAUAUUCCUUUAAAGUCAGGGAGGCUGGAUCUGCCUGACUUCAGAUCUUUUUUCCCUGGCAGUCCAAUUUAGCACUCUGGUGACAUGGAACAGUCACAAAACAGUCACAAAAUGUAGGAUUUCUACAAGGAACAGCUCAGCCCCAAGGAUGUUUAUCCGUUCUACUUUUCACAAACAAAAUGUCUGGAGGAAAUUAAAGAAUGUUUUGGUUUAACAUACACUGAAGGUCCACCAGUUUUUAUAGAUGGAAGUGGGGUCCAAAAAGAACCCAAAAGUUUUCAAAGAUUAUCAAUUCUGAGUCCAAAAUAAAGAAUUGAAAGAGUUGUAUAAAAAAAACAAAAAACAACAGAUUAGUAGGAAGAGAAAAGAGCAGGGACUACCUUCUGGGUCUUAGUGCAAUUCAGGACCAGUGCUUCACAUCUGGCUUCUAUUGUGAAAGGGAUCGGGUUGCACAAACUCUUCCACAACUCUGCUUAUGUGCGAAAACUGAACCCAC
ensembl:lncRNA